GACGAACGCUGGCGGCGUGCUUAACACAUGCAAGUCGAACGGAAAGGCCCUGCUUUUGUGGGGUGCUCGUGAGGCGAACGGGUGAGUAAAACGUGAGUAACCUGCCCUUGACUUUGGGAUAACUUCAGGAAACUGGGGCUAAUACCGGAUAGGAGCUCCUGAUGCAUGGUGGGGGUUGGAAAGUUUCGGCGGUUGUGGAUGGACUCGCGGCUUAUCAGCUUGUUGGUGGGGUAGUGGCUUACCAAGGCUUUGACGGGUAGCCGGCCUGAGAGGGUGACCGGCGACAUUGGGACUGAGAUACGGCCCAGACGCCUACGGGAGGCAGCAGUGGGGAAUAUUGCAGAAUGGGCGGAAGCCUGAUGCAGCAACGCCGCGUGCGGGAUGACGGCCUUCGGGUUGUAAACCGCUUUCGCCGUUGACGAAGCGUGAGUGACGGUAAUGGGUAAAGAAGCACCGGCUAACUACGUG
rnacentral:rRNA from 1 species